GACGAACGCUGGCGGCGUGCUUAACACAUGCAAGUCGAACGGAAAGGCCCUGCUUUUGUGGGGUGCUCGAGUGGCGAACGGGUGAGUAACACGUGAGUAACCUGCCCUUGACUUUGGGAUAACUUCAGGAAACUGGGGCUAAUACCGGAUAGGAGCUCCUGCUGCAUGGUGGGGGUUGGAAAGUUUCGGCGGUUGGGGAUGGACUCGCGGCUUAUCAGCUUGUUGGUGGGGUAGUGGCUUACCAAGGCUUUGACGGGUAGCCGGGCUGAGAGGGUGACCGGCCACAUUGGGACUGAGAUACGGCCCAGACUCCUACGGGAGGCAGCAGUGGGGAAUAUUGUACAAUGGGCGGAAGCCUGAUGCAGCAACGCCGCGUGCGGGAUAACGGCCUUCGGGUUGGAAACCGCUUUCGCCUGUGACGAAGCGUGAGUGACGGUAAUGGGUAAAGAAGCACCGGCUAACUACGUG
rnacentral:rRNA from 1 species